AUGCAUCCAAUGCUGAGCGUCCGAGUCCAAUGCUUGAAGGAAACAAAACACAACGCAGGUUACAGUGGUGCCGUGAUCCCGGAUUCAACUGAUUGGUCGCUGACCAACAACCCUUACCGGAGUGCCUGUUACCAUUCCCACACUGGAGAUCAGCUGAGAACACUUGGGCGGACCAGGAAAUGCUCUAAACCUGUCCUUUAUGUUGCUGACCCAUUGUGCAGGUAACCGAUAGGUUGUUUUAGUUACAUGUAUGUUAUAAUCCCACUUGUGGCGUUGCCUAGCAUUCAAAAUCUAGAAUGUCUAGCUAGCCGGUCCCGCCAUUUUUACAUGCAAUACCGCCGGUCGCCACAUGAGGGGAGGGAUCACCUGUUUAUGCGCGCUGUUUAGCGCGACUCUGUUUUAAAUAUAUAUAAUAAAUUAUAGAGCAGAAAAGACGGUAACUGCUGCCGGCGGACCAGGAAAUGCUCUAAACCUGUCCUUUAUGUUGCUGACCCAUUGUGCAGGCAAUAAAACCGCUGCAUCCAAUGCUGAGCGUCCGAGUCCAAUGCUUGAAGGAAACAAAACACAACGCAGGUUACAGUGGUGCCGUGAUCCCGGAUUCAACUGAUUGGUCGCUGACCAACAACCCUUACCGGAGUGCCUGUUACCAUUCCCACACUGGAGAUCAGCUGAGAACACUUGCGUAUUGUGUUAUAUUUGGGGAACUGUAGAAUAUUUGAAAUGUUAUGAGUAGAUAUUAAUGUGACUGUUUUAGUGAACAUCGACAUUUUGUAUUUUUUUAUUACAAUUUUUUUUUUAUUUUUUCUCUCCGUCUUUUCCAUUGUCAUGGCUGGCUCACAGGUUACUGGAGCUCAAAGGCUUUCUGACUCCUGUUAGUGUGGGUCGGGGUAGAGGUGUGUUGGGGUUGCCUAUCCCUUUCCCUCAGCUUAGUGUGUCUGUGGGUACUACUGUAGGGAUGGCAGCGAGGACUCCACGUCCUGUUGUUAGUGACACACCACACGCUGCUCACACAGAACAAACUAGUUUCCCUGCGCAACAGGCCCCCUGCACUUCCACUCCUUUAACUAC
rnacentral:lncRNA from 1 species